CGGCGUGCUUAACACAUGCAAGUCGAACGCGAAAGUAUUCUUCGGGAAACGAGUAGAGUGGCGCACGGGUGAGUAACGCGUAAGUAAUCUAUCCUGGCAUCUGGAAUAACCCACCGAAAGGUGAGCUAAUACAGGAUACGUUGAUUUAUCAAGAAAGGUGGCCUCUAUUUAUAAGCUACUGUGCGAGGAGGAGCAUGCGUACCAUUAGCUAGUUGGUAGGGUAAUGGCCUACCAUGGCAACGAUGGUUAGCGGGUCUGAGAGGAUGAUCCGCCACACUGGAACUGGAACACGGACCAGACUCCUACGGGAGGCAGCAGUGAGGAAUAUUGCGCAAUGGGGGAAACCCUGACGCAGCGACGCCGCGUGGAUGAUGAAGGCUUUCGGGUCGUAAAAUCCUGUCAGAUGGGAAGAAAUGCGAUAGAUUUAAUAUGUCUAUAGUUUGACGGUACCAUCAAAGGAAGCACCGGCUAACUCCGUGCCAGCAGCCGCGGUAAUACGGAGGGUGCAAGCGUUGUUCGGAAUUACUGGGCGUAAAGCGCGCGUAGGCGGUUAUUUAAGUCAGAUGUGAAAGCCCAUGGCUCAACCAUGGACGUGCAUUUGAUACUGGAUAACUUGAGUACUGGAGGGGAUGGUGGAAUUCCCGGUGUAGAGGUGAAAUUCGUAGAUAUCGGGAGGAAUACCGGUGGCGAAGGCGACCAUCUGGCCAGAUA
rnacentral:rRNA from 1 species